rnacentral:rRNA from 1 species
CCUACGGGGGGCUGCAGUGGGGAAUAUUGCACAAAGGGCGCAAGCCCGAUGCAGCCAUGCCGCGUGUGUGAAGAAGGCCUUCGGGUUGUAAAGCACUUUCAGCGGGGAGGAAGGCGGUGAGGUUAAUAACCUCAUCGAUUGACGUUACCCGCAGAAGAAGCACCGGCUAACUCCGUGCCAGCGGCCGCGGUAAUACGGAGGGUGCAAGCGUUAAUCGGAAUUACUGGGCGUAAAGCGCACGCAGGCGGUCUGUCAAGUCGGAUGUGAAAUCCCCGGGCUCAACCUGGGAACUGCAUUCGAAACGGGCAGGCUAGAGUCUUGUAGAGGGGGGUAGAAUUCCAGGUGUAGCGGUGAAAUGCGUAGAGAUCUGGAGGAAUACCGGUGGCGAAGGCGGCCCCCUGGACAAAGACUGACGCUCAGGUGCGAAAGCGUGGGGAGCAAACAGGAUUAGAUACCCGAGUAGUC